rnacentral:rRNA from 1 species
AUUGAACGCUGGCGGCAUGCCUUACACAUGCAAGUCGAACGGCGGCACGGGUGCUUGCACCUGGUGGCGAGUGGCGAACGGGUGAGUUAUACAUCGGAACAUGUCCUGUAGUGGGGGAUAGCCCGGCGAAAGCCGGAUUAAUACCGCAUACGAUCUACGGAUGAUAGCGGGGGACCUUCGGGCCUUGCGUUAUAGGGAUGGCUGAGGGCGGAUCAGCUCGUUGGUGGGGUAAGGGCCUACCAAGGCGACGCUCAGUAGCUGGUCUGAGCGGACGACCAGCCACACUGGGACUGAGACACGGCCCAGACUCCUACGGGAGGCAGCAGUGGGGAAUUUUGGACAAUGGGCGAAAGCCUGAUCCAGCAAUGCCGCGUGUGUGAAGAAGGCCUUCGGGUUGUAAAGCACUUUUGUCCGGAAAGAAAUCCUUGGCCCUAAUACGGUCGGGGGAUGACGGUACCGGAAGAAUAAGCACCGGCUAACUACGUG